UACGAAGGACCCAAGCGUUAUCCGGAUUUAUUGGGUUUAAAGGGUGCGUAGGCGGGUUAUUAAGUCAGUGGUGAAAGCCUGCAGCUUAACUGCAGAAUUGCCAUUGAUACUGAUGAUCUUGAGUAUGAUUGAGGUGGGCGGAAUGUGUCAUGUAGCGGUGAAAUGCUUAGAUAUGACACAGAACACCGAUCGCGAAGGCAGCUCACUAAGCCAUAACUGACGCUGAUGCACGAAAGCGUGGGGAGCAAACAGG
rnacentral:rRNA from 1 species